rnacentral:tRNA from 1 species
GCGGUUGUAGCUCAUCGGAUAGAGCGCAGCUAUGACGCCUGAGGUAGCGGGUUCAAUUCCCGCCAACCGCA